AUGAGCAUCGAGCUCCCGCCAUCCACAAAUGAACAGGAACAACCAAAGGAGCGAAUAGGCGAAACCCUGCCACACGGAGACAACGGCCGACGAGCUCCGGCCACACCACCAACCACCACCGGACAACCAGAACGGCACCUCCACCACAAGCUCACCAAAGACGGCACCCCCAAGAAGGUGACGACGCCACCAGCGCCGCUGCCGCCCAAUCCGGAAAGGAUCUGGGUUUUCACCCGGUACGAGCAGGGUGAAGAGGAGGGGAAAGGAACAACCUUGACGACGCCAACAGGAAGGGGAACGGCGUCCAAGGACGUCGCCGCCGUCGUGGCCGGACCAGCCGGCCUCGGAUUUCUCCGGUGUCCCUCCCCACCUCCAACCUCCAAGCACGAACAGCACCGGCAGCCGAAGACCACCAUAGGCUAG
rnacentral:rRNA from 1 species